rnacentral:misc_RNA from 1 species
UACAGAAGCCCCAAGCGUUACCCGGAUUUACUGGGCGUAAAGGGUGCGUAGGCGGUGUGAUUAGUCUCUCGUUAAACCUUCGGGCUCAACCUGAAGAUCGCGAGGGAAACGGUCACACUAGAGGAUGUGAGAGGCCACGGGAACUCUCGGUGUAGGGGUGAAAUCCGUUGAUAUCGAGGGGAACACCAAAAGCGAAGGCACGUGGCUGGCGCAUUCCUGACGCUGAAGCACGAAAGCGUGGGUAGCGAACGGG